GUCGUCGUUGUUGUUGUUGCUGCUGCUGCUGUUGUAAAGUCAUGGAAACUCGGAGCAUCAUGAGUUUUGAGAGUUUUAACAAUCGUUUCGACUUAUUGUGGCCUGUCCAGUCAAUUAUUUUGUGAUAACUAUUUCGCUGGUGUUGUCUAGCUCACGGUAGCAGCAGUUCUGUUCAUAACACCCCUUUUUUUCGGAUAGAAAUUCAAUGUUAUUUUGCAUUUUUUAUGAAAAUAAGGAUUUCGUAUUUUUUCCGAUUUAAAAAAAUGUUGGAAUACAAAAUAAUAAUAGCCGACUAUGGACAGUCUUCAGUGAUCCAGUUUUGAUGCCCAAUAUAACCAUGACAACGGAACAUAAUGUGAAUGGUAGUUGAGUUGGCUCAAAUAAAUUUAUUGAAUCAAGGUAAUGGAAUUUAGUCUUGUUGCUAUGACGACCGCAAUACCUACAACAGUACAAGCCGCAGCAAUGGCAGUGACAAUAACAACAAUAACAAUAACAACAGUAGGGACAAUGUGUACAACAGUAUCAGCAGUAGCAGCAGAGGUACCAACAGCAGCAAAAACAGUAAAACAACAGCUUCGGCAACAACAACAGCGACAACGUGAACGGAAACAAGAAUGUAGUCACCAACAGUAACAUGGACGACAUUAGUAUUAACAACAAAACCUAUAUGGAAAACAACAAUAACAAUAUAUAAAGCCACGAGAGCAAUUCUAUCUUUUUCGAGGAUAGUUAGUCAGUGAAUCGUGCAUUCGGUGCAAGGUCUGAAAGGAGAGACCCUCCAGUAGAAAAAUUACAUUGUCGCUUAGUGAGGAGGGAAAAACUAACUCUGAACGAAACACUAUUGUGUAUAAAUGCUUUCUCACAAGAAGAGGAAACUUAAAUUUCCUACUCUGGCAGAGACUGAAAAAUACCUCUAAAAUGUGGCCGUCAGUGCUACACAUAUAGAAAGGAAAAAGUAAGGUAUAGAGUGUCGCCUGUGCAACUGUCAGAGCUCAACAUCCAUUGUUUUGUCAACAGACUAGCUUGGGCUUCCUUCCAAGUAAAACGUUAGCUUCCUGUAUCAAUUUCUGACCAAGUUUCUCCCAGAUUUUUACAGCUUCAAUGAUGGCUUGAAUUUGUAGUCUUAGAAUCAGCUUUUUCCUUUCGAGAAGCCAAAUUUCUCAAG
rnacentral:lncRNA from 1 species